UGACAAGUUAAUAGAACAGGAUGUAACCAAAUAAGGAGUGAUCACCAGAUGAACAAUGAAUCAUUCGCAUGCGUACUAGAUACUUAGUCCACCAUUUUACUGCCACGUAUACUAUGUCAGCAUCAUUCAGAUUGUCUGUAUAAAUGUAAGAUGCACCUAUAACCAAUUUGUAUUCAAUGUGAAGCGUGAGCUGCAUUGGAUAUCUUGCUAUCGCGAAGCAAUUAAAGCCUCUGAUUGAUUCCCACUCUGUCUGUUUGAUUGGCUUAAGGCGGACCCAGGGAUGAACCGGAAUUCACAUCAAUUUGGUGCCGUGACAGUCGGAUGUGACUUGGGUGGACAGUCUGACCCAUCACGGGACAGUGAGAUCCAGCGCGCCCCACAGCUUUUGUCUGUGGAGGAUUCUCAUGGGCCCGAGACGCGCCAAUCGUCACAACGCGCCACAUCUGGGAAUCGAGGCAAGAGUGAAUGAAAGUGUGAACAGAGAGAGUGAUUGGAAAAGAGGAAAGAAAAUGGAGUUUUGGAGAAAUGCACAUGUUGAAGUUCUGUGAGAAAAGACUAUAAGGAGACAUAAAAGGAUUUUGGUUGGAAGGUUGUUAAACAAAAAGAAAAUUGAUUGAAAGGAACCAGUAAGUUGGAAAAUAUAAGUUGUGGAGAGGUAAUGUGGAAGUAAUGUGGAUUGUUUCUUAAGAUGACUGUGAUAAGUUUGUUCUAUUUAAGCUACUUUUUAAACUGAGUUUAUGGCUAACAUAUUGAAAAUGUUAUAAAAUUCUUUGUAAAAUUUCUUUUGUUUAGUCCCUUGUUCUGUGAAAUACACAGACAAGCCUGUGUGUGUGUGUGUGUGUGUGUGUGUGUGUGUGUGUGUGUGUGCAUGCAUGUUUCUGAACGGGGAGCCCAAACCUCUGGUUCUGUGUAGGAAUUCAACCCUGCAUCAAUCUUAUAGCUCAUCUCUGUGAAGAUGAGGUUUCAGUUGUAAUUAUUCUGUUUAUUCUCUUGUAUUUGUGAAUGUAUUUAUUCUAGUGACAUGAUGUUGUUUUUUCUGUAAACUGUUCCAGACCAAACUUGCUCUGACAUUGAAUUCCAAAAUUCACAGUUGUUAUAUUAAUUGAACAUAAAAUUGGUCAUGAGCAACUGAAUCUUCCCACCUCUGCAAAAGUGCUGCUUAUGGCUGGCUAAAUGAAUUAGACAUAGGAGCAAGCUCUAUUUCAUUCAUUCUUAUAUCAAGUUGAUUGUGAUAUUUCUGCCACUACUGAGUAUCAUAAGCCUUUAUAUGUUAUGUUUACUGAUUUCCUUGAGAUGGUCUCUUACCUAUUUUCCAUGAGUUCAAAACUCUAAACCGGAAGUUUCCCUUUCAAAUUCUUGCUCACAACUGAGCUGAUCUCUGAUGAACAACUCCGCCCAUUUCCAGAUGGGAGGGGGAAAGAGGUUCUCUGUGAAGCAGUUUGUGUUCCAGCCAGAUUAAUUGUGGGUGAGAAGGAAAAAUGGAUUUUAAGAUAAAUUAGUCUAAUUGUAUUACUGUCAUGUUUUUGCAAAAUCUAUGCAAUAUUUCUGCUAGCUGAAUUUGAUGUAAACUAAGAGUAUUGUCAAAUGGUCUACGGCUUAAGUUUUAAAUUUGUCUCAUCCAGCAGCCCUGCUUUGCCUUCACAGUAGUUGAACCUUCAAAUUCCAGAACCCAGACGGAAGAUAUGAAGAAAUGAGAAAUUUUGGUUUUAUCACUCCUGCAAGUGGCAGGGAGUUCCAAAGUACCGGUCUGCAAUUCACCUUAUAAACUUCCCAGCUAAAGGGGAUUAGUUUGGGGCAAUAGAUGGCUGAUUCCCUCACACAUGACCAAAUAUCAUUUGACUUUGGUGGGGAAUCCUAGGGUUUCCAUGGCUACUACCUUUGUUCUUAAUCCAGCUACUUUACUUCCUUUUGAGCCUACAGAAGACCAAGAACAUAAUUGCUUGCAAGCUGUGGACUGCAUCUAUGCCAAGCCGUCCUGAUCUUAAAGAUGCUGGUGGUGAAAUCUCUUUCUCCAGGUAUCUCAGCACAGCUUGCAGAGCUCAUCACCUUCAAGGUAAUUUUUACACAACUCAUGGGGCCACUUGGAAAGAAAGAAGAUUUUAACAGUGGGAAACAAGGAAGUAAAGUAUGGGACACAGAUAUCAGAACUCUAGACUGCUGUUACACUACUAGAAGAGGUUGCAGCCAUCCAUAGCAGAGGUCACCAGAGGGAAAUGACCCAGUGACAAAGAGUAAUUGGAUGGCAGAUGCUGCAGUUAAAACCGCUGCUCCUUCUAUUCCUGUUUCCAAGCAUCUUUGAUUCCUGUGCUAACUAUCUUGGCACAAACCCCCCCCCACCACCACCACACACACACAUAUUCAGAAAAAGGACAUCGACUUUGCACCACAGCAGGGGGGCGCACUUAGAAGAGGAAGGCUGGUAAAGAACAGCAGAUGGAUGUGGAAUUCUUGCAGAACCAAUCCUUUGGUUUUUCCUAGUCAAUACAAAGACACUUUUGUGCCUCUUGGAUGUACCCUUUUGCAAAACAUGUGGCAACAGCCUGUGUAAUUUGUGUAGUAAACAAUCCUACUUUACCAAGGUAUAGUAUCUCACUGGACAUGCCAAGUCAGGUAAUGCCCAAGCUGUGGGUAAACAGAGGGCAGGGAUUGACUUUACCUGUGCGGGGAUCCUUUUCCUUGACUCGAGAGGUUGUUUUCGCUUUACAGAAAUGUCAAACCCAAACUUGUAUCCAUCAGUGACUUGUUAAUUAUGAGGCUAAAGAUGGAGGACUGGGACACCACAACUAUGGAGAUUGAUUGCCCUGACAAAGGCCUGUAAGUAUGAUUUUCAGCCAACGUAGCACAGUGGUUAGAGUGCUGGACUAAGACCGGGGAAACCCGAGUCCAAAUCCUCAUUCAGCCAUGAUACUUGCUGGGCGACACAGAGCCUGCCACUAAAAUGAUUUGGCCUGCCUCACAGGGUUGUUGUAAAGAGGAAGAACAGGAUGCAGAAGAGACUGUGAGAUGCCACAUGGAAACUGGACUUUGUUAGCAGUGACUAUGCUUGACCUGAAAGGCUUUAAUGCCUCCUCAAAGCCCCAAACUCACAAGGGGGGGUGAAAAAUGUGAAUGCCUUUUUCUUUUUGACUUUAUUGCUUUGCUUUUGCCCAGGAUUGCUGUUUUGUUCUCGUGAUCAGACACCAGCCUACAACACAAGCCACCAAGCCUUAAAAGAAGACAUCAUCCCCUGUUCUGGUCUUCGAAUAAGUGGGGGCCCAGGGAAAGCAAGGAAACAAAAAUAUAAAUUGGAAAAAGAAAAAAAAAUGCCAAAAGACCAAGUUGAAAAUAGCCUCAGGUUUUAUCCAUUCUUUGUAUUAUUUGCCUUGAAAACUUGAUUUUCCUUUUGUGCUGAUGGUUGGCACCCAGAGACUUAGUCUCAGGAUGCUGUCCCUACAUGGCGGGGGAGGGAAUUGGCAACUCACUUGCCUGUCUUUCUCUCAAGUAAACAGGUUUGCAACCAACCGUGCCUUGAAUUGUCUUUCCAAGAAGGAUUGGUCCUUCCCAGAUCGAAGGAAUACCUGGAUCCAUCGCCAGAAUGUGAUCCCAAGGGAGUCUCCAUCAACAGUGACACAGGGAAACUAACCAUCAGCAGCAGCAGCUACUCGAGGGCAGUGCCUAUCUGCAUUUCCAGUCCAACCCAAUGGUGACAGGACAUUCAUCUGCUACCCUGUCCUGUGUUCAAAGAAGAGGGCCUAAUGCACAGUUCAUCUUCCUGCUCCUAAGUGCUGUAGGAGAGGAAUAGACAACAAACAAGCCAGCCAAUUUGUUCACUUUUCUCUGGAGUCAUACAUGCAACAGCAUUUCCCUAAGCUGUGAAGCCCUGGAACCAUCCUACCUGGGUAAGAUACCUUGCCAAGGACACUAUUUCAAAUUCUGCCAAAGACACUAUUUCAGAUUGCCCACAAGGGGGGCGGGAUCAAGGCUCCCAAACACAUGAAUAUUCGAACAGCACGGAUCAGAGAACAUCCAGGAUAGCCAAAAUCCUGCAAUGUUGUACAAGAACAUUUGGUUCUCAACUGAAGGACUAAAAUAUAUUUUUCUUUACCAAGGACUUUUAGAUUUUGAAUUCUAAAGCUCUCCAUGGCUUCCUUUUUGGCCAUGACAGACUUUAGAGGACACUAAGGGGGGUGGGAGUUGAUUAUUUACACCACUUUCUUAUAUUACUUUCUUGUAAUGACUAUGGGCUAUCAUUAUGUUGUAAACCCUGCUAUCUCUUGUGCUGUAAUGACAUGGACCUCACUUGUUUCACUUACAUAUUGUGCCAAUCAUCUCAUUGUUUUCAACCAAAGCAUUUACCUGCAAGUCUGCACCUAUCCCCAAGUUACUGAUCCCUUUAUGCUGUAAGACAUUAAGCUGGCCCAAGCUUUACCUGCAAUUUUAUAGACACUUGUAUUAAUCAGUGUGAUUGUACAUGACUUGUCAUUGCUAUCGCUUUCCACAAGCUGAUAUCCCAUUAAUCACCAGAAGCAUCUGGUUCCACAAUGCAAGACUGUUAUUUACACUUUAUUUGGGAUAAAGAUGGGUUAAAACAAUGUUGCUUGCUAUAAGUUGUAUGAUCUUUAUAUGUACACUUUGCUGUUAUGUGUAAAACUUUUAUAUAAAUAUAUCAAAUCAUGCCAGAUAUGGGUGGUUAAGGAUAUAUGUGUGUGAUAUAUAGAAUUAUAUAAUUAUGUUUGUAGCUCUAGAAUGUUGUAUGCAAUGUAUCUAGUUUUAUUGCCAUAUGUACAGCCCAUUCAUCACCUACUAUUUCUGUAAUGCUUAAGGCAUCCCAAAACCACAUAUGUUCCAAAUCCUUUAGCUACACAAAACACAGAACUAUAUUUCCAAGAUUAGAAGUUUGUGUGUCAGAAAAGAACUAUUAUUAAUAUUUCCAACAGUUAGAACUUUCAUUUAACUAAUAUGGAAAACCUAUUGAUUUAUGGGGGAUUUAUAAAUCGACCCAGGGACGAACCGGAAUUCACAUCAAUAGGACCACAUAAACAAGACAAUCAAGAAUUUAUAAUUCUUUCACCACAUGUGGAAAUAACAAUCCCCAUGCCUGUCUCCUACUGCCUGAAAGAUUACAUAAUGCUUUCAUACUGUUUCAAGAUCCUCUAGCUUGGGUGUUUCCAACGAUUUACUGUCCAAAUUCCUUCUCAUUCAAAGAUUCUUGAUACAGAAAUAAUGCCUAUGUUCCUAAAUUCCAUUACACUUCUUUCCUGAAUUCAAUUUCACAUCUGCUAAUAGGCUGGUUGCAUAAUAAAUUGUUAGCUGCAAUUUUCUGUUCUGUAUUCAUUUAAUAUUUUGGUUGAAGUAGCCAUGUUCCUGUUGACAUUAGUAAUGCUACCAUGAAAAACUAGCUUGAUCCUAGCAUGUUUACUCAGAAGUAAGUCCCAAAUAAAGAAUAAAAGGAUUGUAGGUUUUGCUUUUGUUACUGAACGUUUUUUUAAAAUAAAAAUAUCUCUCUCUCUC